UAGGCGUUAGUCUAAACAAGACAGUUGAUUUCGACUCAACAAAUUUGGAACUAUCCAAACGCCU
rnacentral:tRNA from 1 species